GACGAACGCUGGCGGCGUGCUUAACACAUGCAAGUCGAACGGAAAGGCCCUGCUUUUGUGGGGUGCUCGAGUGGCGAACGGGUGAGUAACACGUGAGUAACCUGCCCUUGACUUUGAGAUAACUUCAGGAAACUGGGGCUAAUACCGGAUAGGAGCUCCUGCUGCAUGGUGGGGGUUGGAAAGUUUCGGCGGUUGGGGAUGGACUCGCGGCUUAUCAGCUUGUUGGUGGGGUAGUGGCUUACCAAGGCUUUGACGGGUAGCCGGCCUGAGAGGGUGACCGGCCACAUUGGGACUGAGAUACGGCCCAGACUCCUACGGGAGGCAGCAGUGGGGAAUAUUGCACAAUGGGCGGAAGCCUGAGGCAGCAACGCCGGGUGCGGGAUGACGGCCUUCGGGUUGUAAACCGCUUUCGCAUGUGACGAAGCGUGAGUGACGGUAAUGGGUAAAGAAGCACCGGCUAACUACGUG
rnacentral:rRNA from 1 species